GUUAUGAGCCCCGCGCGAGUGAAGAAAACUUUGCCAAAUAUUUUGUCUCACCAUUCUUCACUACGAAAAAAAGAAGUUCUACGGUGCAUUUUCCGACAAACGUCAUUGACUACCGACGAAUUUUCGACUGAUCGGCUGUUGGAUCAACAAAAAGAAGCCAUUCUUUCUGGCUGCUGCUAUGCUAUCUUACUCAAUCUAUACAAUUCAACUCCUUUAGACAAGUUGAGGGAGCCAACAGCUACACUUUCCCAUCAGAAGGCAGCUUCUGAUCCAUCUCCACAGCUGUAGAAUAGGCAGACACAGAGUUCGUCCCCUUAGAUGGAGCUGAGGACGGCGUGUGGAGCUUCUUAGGCAGCAUCUGCUCCCAGCUGUACGCCUUAGGCGUUCUCGCGGCUUCAGACAUGAAAACAAGAGCAAGCAAGCUCAGAACCAAGCACUUGUGCCUCCAAGAAACAGACAUGAUGAAGAGAAAUGCAGUGGAAGAAUUUGUGAGGAAUCAGGCUUUUUAAGGAGAGGAAUAAGCAGACAUGUUGAGCAAUCUAAGAAGACAGUGUUGUAAUAGAAUAAUGGGUGAGUUUGUUAAGGAAUUAUGUGUUUGAUGCCUUUUCUCUUUUCUUAUCUUAUCCAAUCAGACAACAACUUAUGCAGCAUUUCUUGAGGAAUGAUUCAAUUACACAUGACCCCACUGUAGUAGGAAUUAGUCAUUCUUUUAACUGGGGACACAGAUUUGUCAAAGUGAAGAAAAAACAAUCACUAGUUCCACUGA